rnacentral:rRNA from 1 species
GAUGAACGCUGACAGAAUGCUUAACACAUGCAAGUCGAUGGGGAAGUGGUGCUUGCACCAUGGCAACCAUGGCGGACGGGUGAGUAACGCGUAAGGGACUUACCUGCAGGACUGGGAUAACAGGGGGAAACUCCUGACAAGACCGGAUAAUGUCAUGGAGCUGCAUGGCUUUAUGAUGAGAGGAGACGCCUGCGGAGAGCCUUGCGUCCUAUUAGCUAGUUGGUGAGGUAAUGGCUCACCAAGGCGAAGAUAGGUAGCCGGCCUGAGAGGGUGGACGGCCACAAGGGGACUGAGAUACGGCCCUUACUCCUACGGGAGGCAGCAGUGGGGAAUAUUGGACAAUGGGGGCAACCCUGAUCCAGCAAUUCUGUGUGCACGAAGAAGGUUUUCGGAUUGUAAAGUGCUUUCAGCAGGGAAGAAGUAAGUGACGGUACCUGCAGAAGAAGCGACGGCUAAAUACGUG